rnacentral:misc_RNA from 1 species
UUUCCGUAGGUGAACCUGCGGAAGGAUCAUUAAAAAAUGUGGUACCAAUUAUUGGUACUAAUUAAUCAUCCUACCCUUUGUGAAUUUGUUUGUAUGAAUUUUUUUAAAUGGGUCUUUCCCUAAGUUGGAUUGUUAGUAAAAUACAAAAAGACUUAGGGGAAUGACUUUUUUAAAAGACUUUUUUUUAAUUAAAACUUUUUGUAUUCAUUUGUCUAAAAUUUAUUUUUAUAAUAUAAAAACAACUUUUGACAAUGGAUCUCUUGGUUCUCGCAACGAUGAAGAACGCAGCAAAAUGCGAUAAGUAGUGUGAAUCGCAGAAUACGUGAAUCAUCGAAUCUUCGAACGCAUAUUGCACUUUUUUAGUUUACUAAAAAAGUAUGUCUGUUUGAGUAUCAGUAAAAUAUUCUCACAAAACAAUAUUGUUUGUGGUUAUGAGUGUUUUACAACGAUAAACAAGUUGUUUCACUUUAAAUUCUUUUUAAUUGAAUUUUUACCAAUCCAUAAAUUAAAAUUGGAUAAAAUUUUCCUUUAACGAGGAAUAACCUAAACAAUUUUAAAUUUUAUGGAUUAAUAAACAUUCAUCAAAGGAAUCUAAUUACAUAAAUAACUUGAUCUCAAAUCAGAUAAGAGUACCCGCUGAACUUAAGCAUAUCAAUAAGCGGAGGAAAAGAAACUAACAAGGAUUCCCUUAGUAACGGCGAGUGAAGCGGGAAGAGCUCAAAUUUGAAAUCUUCAAGGUUUGACCUUGACGAAUUGUAGUUUAUAGAAGUGUUUUCUGUUGGAGUUUUGGUAAAAGUUCUUUGGAAUAGGACAUCAUAGAGGGUGAGAAUCCCGUAUUUGACCAUGACUUUCCAGCUGUGUGAUACACUUUCAAAGAGUCGGACUGUUUGGGAAUGCAGUCCAAAAUGGGUGGUAAACUUCAUCUAAAGCUAAAUAUUGGCGAGAGGCCGAUAGCGAACAAGUACCGUGAGGGAAAGAUGAAAAGAACUUUGAAAAGAGAGUUAAACAGUACGUGAAAUUGUCAAAAGGGAAGCGUUUGACACCAGUGUUGUUUUCUCGAAAAUCAAUUUAAUGAGUUCUUGUUUUUAAGUUAUUGUGACUUUAUCAGCGCAUUUCUUAUUUUACUUGACUCAUUGAAUGCACUUUUCGUUUAACAAGUCAACAUCAAUUUCUUUGGUGGUAAAAAGUUUAAAGGAAGGUGGCUUGGACUUCGGUUCAAGUGUUUAUAGCCUUUUUUCUAUGCCAUCGGAGAGAUUGAGGUCUGCAGCGUAGAUCCUUCGGGGUUAGAUACCUUUGUGCUAAGUUAUAGUUUUUUAUAGACAACUUGUUGACUAUAAUUAACCCUGUAAUUUACUCGCUUAGGCUAUUUUACCUACCUUAGGAUGUUG